rnacentral:lncRNA from 1 species
UAACAAGCCUCUCCUUCGGGUGAUGCCUUCUUUGGGGUGGCCUUUCUGCGAGCGUCCGUGCGUGCGUGUCCAUGAAUAAACCUCAGCUUGUCUCGGCAAGCUAGGUGCGAGUCCCUUCUUUGUUUUUUGUAUGAUUAUUGCCAGUGUUUGUUUCUUGUUGGGUUCGUCCUCAGAGUUGCUGCGAGAUUUAUGGGAUUAUCCCAGUCAAUCCUUCUGUCAUGUAAGAUUUUAUUUUGGGCAAAUCAUGAGUGUUGUAUGCCUGUUCCCUCAGUAACUCACUCGUUGUGUAUACAAUUGGACAGGCAUGUCACAUGGUGCCUGUAGUUGUGAUGUGCAUGCUAUACCUCCGUGUGAUCGAGAUCGAUCCAUAUGAUCGAUGCGCCAUGUGUGCAGUGGCAGCUGACACCCGGCGCUACGCAUGCGCAAGGACCGCUGCGAGACCUGAGCAUUUCUUGGGCCGGGCUUUAAAAAGCCGAACCCCACAAAUCUAAGCCUGAGCCAUGCCCGGUCCUGAACAAACGAACACUAUUCUAUUUUUCUCAAUCCUUUUUCCGGUAGUGAAUACUACCUCCCUCCCAGUUUAUUAGACCCCUAGUAUAUUGAGUCAAACUUUGACCAUUGACAUGACUAAUAAAAUAUAGAAUACAUGCUUAAAGUAGUACAAUGUUGGAUUUGUAUUUGAAAGAGCGUUCGGAAGGUAUAAUGUUUGUGACGUAUAGUUUACAUGUUAUUAGUUAAAAUUGUGAGUCAAACUUUAAUCUAAAAUAAGAGGGAGCCUAAUAAACCCGGACGGAGGUAGUAGUACUUAUCUUUCUAUUGAAAUUACGUAAUUUAUUCAUUUUCAAGAUAUAUUAAUACAUUAGUAUGAUUUUUUUAAUGAAACCUUAUUUUUAGUUUUUUAGAACCACAAUAUAGGCCAGAAGCUCACAAUCACUAUAUAUGUGGCAAUUUCCCAAAAGAAAAAACCCAUGUGUGCCAACAUUUUUUAGGAAAGAUAUUUCUUUCCAUUUCAUUAACGAAACCCCCGCAUGUUCUUACAAGAUACAAACUGCUAAAAGAGCCUGGAGGCCUUUAAUUUGAAAAUUUUCAAAAUCCUAUUUUUUUUGUUUCAAAAAAUUCUGAAACAACACACAUGUAUGCAAGGAUGUAAUGUGUAUGUGUGUAAAAAUUCAGUAUGAAAUAUCUUGAUUUACGAGCUGCAAAUAAAUUUAAUGGAGUAUGAGGAUGAAGAAUACAUAUGCUAAAAAGCCCCAGAUUUUUUUCUGUAGCUCUCAUUUAAACCUAUUUCGAUCUGAAAAUUUGCACACAUGUACAUUAUGUGUAUUACGUGAAUUUGUUUUCAGAAUUUAUUGAAACUGAAAUACGGUUAAGUGUACGCAUGAGCCUACAAAAUACGUACAAGGUAUUUGUAAAUGAUAAAAGUACUACAACAAACAACUCAAAACAGGUGUUCGACGUGGACCUCUUUUGUUUUGCAGGAACAUGGGAAUUAUUAAUGUACAGUAAUGCCUUUUACAAUCAUGAUUGAGCAACUCGGCAAAAAACAAAGUGGCCUCAAGCGGCCAAACAUUGGCCUCUACACCCGCUCCUAGCACCAGCAGCUUGUGCAAGUUGGCGAGCUACCCUGUGUCCUCCUCUAUUAACCUGAACCGAAAUUCAGGAAGUUCAGCCGCAGUAUCUCUAACAUCAGGUAGCAGGCGAUAAUACUACACGCACACGGAAAGAAUCGACAGACUUUCACGGAAUCCACCUCACCUAACCAAAUCCUAGCCAAUCAAUUUCUAACUACACCGUAAUCCCCCUGUAAAUCCCCGUGUGUCUAGCAUUGCUCGAUAGCAGGUGUGCAUGGGCAUGGCGCGACCAUAACUUGAGAGCCUGACUCCACUUGAGGCCAAACUGUUCAUGGCCGCCCAUCCAGUCAUCGGCGUCGCAGACCACGCGGAUUUGUGUUGUAGCAAUCCAUCCGCCUUGCUUGAACACAAAGUUCUGUUGGCAAGCUUCCAGCGCCGUGCGUGUCCUGGAGCAGCGGACGGUAGCAAUUGAAGCACGCGCGUACGUGGGAUACUACCCUACGGUCCUACCCUACUUGCGGGUUGCGGCCUUUUCCUCUUUGAGAAGACGUGCACUCCGACUGCUGCAUCGAUCGUUGUGACUCGUGGGACCCUAUUGGCAUCGCGUGUGCCGCUAUAUAAGCUGGGGUGCUCACACAGCAGCUCCGUCACUCAUCCCACCCUGAUACACUCGUUAACUCGUAACGAACAAGCAGCCAUCGAUGGAGGCUCCACGCAAGCUGUCUCCGCCGCGCUCGUGCUGGUGCUGCUGCUCGCGGCCACGGGGGAGAUGGGAGGCCCGGUGGCGGUGGCGGAGGCUCGGAAGUGCGAGUCGCUGAGCCACAGGUUCGCGGGCCUCUGCCUGCGCGGCCACAACUGCGCCAACGUCUGCAGGACCGAGGGCUUCCCCGGCGGCAAGUGCCGCGGCGCCCGCCGCCGCUGCUUCUGCACCACCCACUGCCGCUAGUAGCCUAGCGGCAUGCAUGCGUGCUGGCACCUUUGUGCGUGUGAUUGUGUCCAUGUCCAUGAAUAAACCUCAGCUUGUCUACUAUCUUGGCAUGCAGGCCGAGCUGGGUAUAAGAAACAACUUCUUCUUGUGUCCGUUCCAUGUUUGGGUUCGUCCUCAAAGUUGCAGUGAGGUUCGAUGUGUUCCUUUCACGUGUGUUGUGUUGUGUGCGUGUAAGCGUGUUCCCUCAGUCACUCAUUUGCUCCGUACACGGAACGACGUGCAUGUCGCAUGCUACUUCCGUCUAUGCUUUUUUGUUUGUUUGAGAAAAGUGUGAUCGAGGCAUGUGUGCAGCAAGGAACACGACAGCUGACACCGAGUAAAUUGCACAGAAGUACCACAAUUGGGACAUUAGAAGCAGAUUGAUAAUUUUUACGUGUCAGUAUCAACUUUGGGGCGGGCGAGGCGUUGCAAAAAAGACUAAAACUGCAGUUUAUACGUAUUGACAGGGAAUCUGACUGAUUGGGCCCGCCUGUCAGGUGCUGACGUGGCAAGUUUUUUGCAGAAAACUCCCUUGGUUUGUGAGUAAUCAUGUAAAUGCCCAAUUAUUUCGGGAAAAAAGGCUCCUAUGAGAGGCUUUUUUCCGUUCGUAAUUUCCACCACGGAUUCGGACUCGUUUGCAAAUUUGCGUCGGUUUGAACAAGUAAAUAAAACGAACANNNNNNNNNNNNNNNNNNNNNNNNNNNNNNNNNNNNNNNNNNNNNNNNNNNNNNNNNNNNNNNNNNNNNNNNNNNNNNNNNNNNNNNNNNNNNNNNNNNNNNNNNNNNNNNNNNNNNNNNNNNNNNNNNNNNNNNNNNNNNNNNNNNNNNNNNNNNNNNNNNNNNNNNNNNGGCGUUGCAAAAAAGACUAAAACUGCAGUUUAUACGUAUUGACAAGGAAUCUGACUGAUUGGGACCGCCUGUCAGGUGCUGACGUGGCAAGUUUUUUGCAGAAAACUCCCUUGGUUUGUGAGUAAUCAUGUAAAUGCCGAAUUAUUUCGGGGAAAAAGGCUCCUAUGAGAGGCUUUUUUCCGUUCGUAAUUUUCACCACGGAUUCGGACUCGUUUGCAAAUUUGCGUCGGUUUGAACAAGUAAAUAAAACGAACAAAAAAACAAUCCCGUGCAGGAUUCGAACCGGGGACCUGCGGUACAGCAGAGCAGCGGGCUAGCCACCGCGCCAUGGCUGCGCUCGCGUCAAGAAGCAGGCAGAACGGUUUUUAUACUAGACAUGGGCAGGCUGGGCCGGCCCACCGAGGCCUGCAUUGUUUUUUCCUUUCGCACUUACCUGGCGUAUUGGGGCUCAUUCGUUGCCCAGAUUUCUUUACGUUUCAUUUCUCUUACUUAUUAUGCUUUAUUUUUUAUUCUGGUUUUGGUUUAUUUUUAGGUUUUUCUUUCUUAUUUUUUCAUUCGCUAGGUUGGUUUAUCUCCUGGAUUUUUAACAUAUUUACUGAACAUUUUUUAUGAUGGGUUUUAGUAUAUGAUGAACAGUGAACAUUUAUUUCAUGUAAUGAACUUUUGGUAAUAUACAUUGAACAUGUUUUCAAUGCCAAUUUAAUAUUUUCCUAAUAUAUGUUGAAUUUGUUUCUUAAGAUAUGAUGACAUUUUGCAUAAUGCGCGGUGAAAUUUUCGUAAUUUAUGGUGAACAUUUUCUUAAUACACGAUGAGUUUCAAGAAUAUUAUGAUUACACAAUUUCUUAAUUUAUAGUAAACAUUUUUAAUACACGAUGAACUUUUCUUACAAACAGUGAACACUUUUCUAAUAAUAUGAACGUUGAACAUAAUUUGAAUGCAAAUGGAAUAUUUUUGUAAUAUAUGUUGAAAUAUUUUCUUAAGAUAUGAUGAAAAGUUUACUUAAUGCACGGUGAUUUUUUUAUAAUUUAUUGUGAGCAUUUUCUUAAUACACGAUGACUUUCAAGAGCAUUAUGGUGAACAUUUUCUUAAUACAUGGUGAAUUAUUUGCAUUUCAAGAAAUGUUCAACAUGGGUUAAAAACUUAUUGUGUAAAUCAUUCUUGCAUUUCAAGAAACACGUCGAUUUUUUUAAUAAAAUUUGAACACUUUUAGUGCAUUUUGGAGAUUUAUUAUGAUUACAAAUUUAUAUUUAAUACAUGUUGUCAACUUUCUAAUUAACUGUGCAUUUAAAAAAAUAAAAUAUAUAUGUAUUAAUAUCAUGAAUAACAAAUAUAUAUGGGCCGUGCCUGUGUUCUAGUCUGGUGCUUGACACUUAAUAAUACUAAUAUGUAAUCGCAAAAUAUAUAUGUAUUAAUAUCAUGAUUAAAAAAAACAGUAACCCAGCGCGCAGCCACGCUGGGCCAAUCGCCGGCCCAACGUCUUCAGCAUCUACUAUCUACUAUCUAUCUAUCUACUACCCCUAUAAAAAGAAGAGAGGGGCAGAUCCAAACAAUCUCAUCCAUCCAUCAGCAAAAUUCAAUGACUUAAUCCUUCGGUGUUUAACGCUGCAAACCACGCAUUAAGCCACUAACAAGCCAUCGAUCGAUAACCCAGCCCCGCAGUUAAUCACACGACUCUCGCCCCUGCCCGCACCUCCCUCUUCGCACGACUCUCACCCCUGCGCGCACGACCUCCACCUCCUCCUCCCGCGCCGUUCGCCGCCCCGCAAACUCCGGCAGCCGUUAACCGCCCUUCGCCGCGGGAGCAGCCGCUCGCCACUGCAGCCGCCGCCCGCGGGAGAAGCCGCGGGAGCCGCUCGCCGCUCGCCGCGGGUCGCCCUUUGCCAUGGUCGCCGCCGGAGCCGCCCCGCCCCUGGAUCCGCUCGCCGUUGGUCCCCGCCGGAGCUGCCCCGCCCCUCCCCGGCGCUCCAACCCCAACUCCCCGACUCUCCAUCCUCCCCGCUUCUCAUCACCACCGCCGCACUCCCCGAAGCCCAUCUCUCUCCAGCCUUCCUGCCCGCAUGCAGCCCUCGCCCUCGGCACCGCACGGGCCAGGCCCUCUCUCCUCGGUUAUGGCCACCAUGGAGAACCUGACCCGUAGGGCAUACCCUCCUCCUCUGAUGCGUAACACCCAUCCCUGCCCCGGCGGCUGGGAUCAUGUCCGCCAUCAUGAGCAGGUGCUCCGCAUCCGAGUGCACCGACUCAGAGGUAGAGGUUGGGCUGUAGUUCUUGGACGCCAAGGAAGAACGCAAGUUGUUGCCGCCGCCGAAGAUGAAAACUGGUGGUAACUGGUAAGCCUCUGCAAGCCCCCACCUAGCCUCCCGCCUCUUAGUUCUUCUCCUUUUUUACUCUAGAUGGAUGAUGUCUGAUCUUGUUCACUUAGUCUCCAAUGCGUGAGGAAGAAAAACAGUCACCUCUAACGUCGAUCAGCAGAGCCCAUGUCUUUUGCAUGUAAAGAGACUCUGAGUUAGUGGUUUUCUAUUUACUACAUGCAUACAUCCAAGAACGACUCUACUGAAAAGUAUUAGAAAUUAUUUACAAAUAGCUUUAAGCAAGAAAUGCAACGAGAUGAUUACAUUACAAUGCUCUUUUCUCUCUUCGUUACUACAACCUUGAUGAUGCUUGGGUGAUUCAACUGAAUAGUUGAUGGAUUAAAAUUCAUAUUACAAUGUGGAAAAUGUAGCAGUUUCAGAUUACAAGAUUCAUGUUGCCGUUGUAUAUAAAGGGAGAAUUAAUGUAGUUGCUCUGUAGGAAGCAUGUAGUUUCUCUGUAGGACUCCUGGUGUGCUGCUGGAAUAAACUGGAGGUACAUGUUUUUGUAAUUUUUUGUUGAUAGCUUACCAAGCUGACCACUUGGUAGAGGUACAUGUUGAUUUGUUCUCUUUCAGGUGAUGGAACUCUAUCCUACGCGCAUAGCAGUGAUGGAACAUAGCGUACUUUCACCCUUUUUUCCAGAUCGAGAUGGUGGAGGCAGCCAGUGUCGUGGCCGAGCGCUGGGGAGCUUGUCGGUGUUUUGAUGGAGAAGGCCGGCCGCCUCCUCUCCCUACCAAGUCUUUUUGGCCCAUAGAUCGAGUUCAUGGUUGAUAAGGAAGGUGUGGUCGAUUUCACCAGGCUGGGUCCGAAGGUCCCGAAGUCCUAUGGCAUGAACUGGCCACGGCGCAUCCGGCUGGAUGCACUUGCUCAACACCUUUCCAUCUCUGUACAAUCAGGUAGAUAUUUUCUCACGUGCCAAAUAUUAUUUUUAGGUUGCCAAAUAGUAGUCUAGGAACUAUAGAAAGUGGAUUGCUGAGUUUGCCAAGCAUAAUAGCACACCUAUUAUCAGAUGACCUGAAGAGUAUAUCAAGCAAAGAUGCUUUCAGAUUUAUGCAUGCCUAUAUUAGGUUCCUACUUGUGUGAAGAUAACACUUUGCAUCAGGCUUGUGAGCAACCGUAAGUUGUUUUGCAUGUGAUACUACUUGUGUGAUUAUUUUUACCUUCGGAAAAUUUCCUUCUUAUUAUAUAUCAUAUGGAAUUCUUCAACCAGAGGAGAGCAACUCAAUGAGUUUGCAUACAUUCAGCCAUCUAUGUUGAUGCAACUCAACUAACAAAGAGUAUUUAAGAAAAGACUGCAGUUUGUAAAGCCAGUGGACAAAUUAGUUCUGCACAGUCCGGCAUUAGCGGCGUGCAUGCAGUAAUUCAUCAAUGUUGGGGGUCAGUGCUAUGAACAUCAAGCUUCACCUUUACCAGUGGCAUUAAUUUGUUGUUUUUGUUUUAUAUCAAAUAAUUUACCAUUCUUCAGUUUUGCAUAUCAUAUUUUGGUUCUGAAUUUGUAUUUGGAUAUUUCUGCAACCUUAUUUCUAACAUGCCUUCAACUACUGUUUAUCGCACAAAAAGUCGAAAAAUGUGGAAUAGAGAACUAUUACGGGUAAUACGAAUUGUUUUCUCAUGCAGACUACAAAUUCUCUGUAAUUCACGUGGUUUUGGAAUUUGUUUAAUGUGCAAAAUAUGUACAAGGCUUGUGAGCGGCCAUUUUUAGCCAAGUACUUGUAUAAGUUCUCUUGUAACUUAGCUAUCAGCUUAUUACGAAAGGCUUUGAGGAUUCUUAAUCUAAACUAAAUUUUUAUACCUGUAGUAAUCUUCUGUUAUGAUUUAAUAUUGCACCACGUUAGUCUUGCAUCACGUUAGACCCUGGGUUUGUACUUGCUGCAAAUGCUGUAGGAACUCAACGGCUGUACUUGCUGAAAAUUUCAAUUGAUCAACAUGGGAGUAGUGGUCUCAUGAUCUAAGACUAAGAGUAGAUUUAUUUAUUCUGUUCUAAUAUGUUUAAGAGGGGGAUGAGAAAGUUUCUGCUUAGGUUUGCGUUGCAAGUGAAAGCUUAGUUUAGUAGCAAGGUUAUAACGUGCGUUGCACGUGCAAACUUACUAGUAGUAUAAAGAAGUUCUCGCCUCUUUUACUUCGCGAGGGCAGCCGUGGCGGGGUGGCUAGCCUGCUGCUCUGCUGUACCUCAGGUCGCCGGUUCGAUUCCUGCGCGGGAUUCAGGAUUUGUUCCUUUUAUUUACUUGUUCAAACCGACGCAAAUUUGCAAACGAGUCCGAAUCCGUGGUGGAAAUUACGAACGGAAAAAAAGCCUCUCGUAGGAGCCUCUUUCUCCGAAAUAAUUGGGCAUUUACAUGAUUACACACAAACGGAGGGAGUUUCCUGCAAAAAAUUUGCCACGUCAGCACCCGACAGGCGGGCCCAACCUGUCAGAUUCCCUGUCAAUACGUAUAAACUGCAGUUUUAGUCUUUUUUGCAACGCCUCGCCCAAAGUUGGUACUGACACGUAAAAAUUACCAAUCUUGAUACCAAUCUGUUUCCAAUGCCUCAAUUGUGAUACUUUUGUGCAAUUUACUCGCUGACACCCGUCGCUGCUCAUGCUCAUGCAUGAUGGACUGGCCACGCGUAAAAGGUCCCGGCCUCUAGGAGUGCGAAGUUAUGGUGCUCGGGCAGUCGGGCACCAUGAUGCCCUUUAUUUUCAUUUUUUUAAAACACACACACGCACGCGCGCGUGCGCGCGCGCACACACACAUAUAGAAGUAAAAAAACAAAAAAAACAAAAUCUGUGGAAACAUGUUAUAUGUGCACUGCGGAUCCAUGAAAUUUUGUUUCCAAAAAAAUGUAUUGUGUAAGCUGUACAAAAAAAGAUUCUGUCCCAAAAGCAAAAAGAGGCCCAUUUGAAAAAUACAUAUUUGUCUUUUCUUUGUACGCCUCAUGUGAAAGUAAGAUGUUAUGAAAUUUUGCACAUACAUAGUAUACAUGUGAGUGUGUUUACAAAAAAUUCCAAUCUUUUUUCCCUAUAGAAAAUGUUUUUUCGCGACCUCUAGCAGGUUCAAAGCUGCUUCCUAUUCAGCGCUUCACCCGCGCUGGUUAAAGGCGUCCACGUACGUAAACCAACUGGGCCGGCCUGUAAUGCAUUGAAACAUUCCUGAUUUUUGUGCAGCUUUGUGGUCACUUCUAGGAAGCUUCUAGAAGCAUCAAACCAUUUUUGGGAAGCUUUUGACCGAUGUUUUCUUUGCCUGUUUUUUAAUUUUCAUUUUUCGUUUUUCUUUUUCUUUAUUUAUUAUUUUGUAUUUAACUUUUUUAAAUUCACAAACCUUUUUAAUAUUCAUGCACUUUUUAAAAUCUGUGAAUAUUUUUUAAAUUUAUAUUUUUAUAUAAAUUCGUGAACAUAUUUAAAAUCCAUAAACAUCUUGAAAUUCAUGAACUUUUCCAAAUCCGAAUUAUUUUUCAAAUCAUUGUUUUUAUUUCAAAUUUGUGUUUUUUUUAAUUCAUGAACUAUUUUCCAAUCCAUGAUUUUUAUUCAAAUUCACAAAAAGAAACUCUGUUUGUUCCAAAAGUCAACGGUCUACAGGCCGACCAGGUCAACCAUGAAGAGCGACUAGGCGCGUGAGCUUGAUGAGCGAGCUGCUCGCUCGCAUAGCUAGCCCUGCCUACACAGGGGGGCGAGUGAGCGCUGCCUAGCUACCAGGCGCAGUGAGCGCUAACUAGGAGCUGCCACAGCAAAAAGCAUAGCUGGCUUCCCUCUUAAUGACAAAUUUGCACAAAAUGGACCUUUUGAAGAAAUCUAAGCCCAAGAGGCCCCUAAUUCACCUAUGGACCCCCUCCAGUGGAUGAUUGCGGUUCAUAUAUUAACAUGGUCAGUAUUAUCACGAUUUUACCUGCUACUUAUGUCCGACGAUCAAAAUUGGUCCAUAUAUCGUCACAUAUAUAUAAGUAAACUAAAUAGUUGCUCGUGCCACUAGUGGAAAAAGGCUCAUUUGUCCCGGUUCUGGAACCGGGACUAAAGGGUCGAGACUAAAGCUCAAACCUUUAGUCCCGGUUUGCUUAUGAACCGGGAGUAAAGAAGCUCCACGUGGCCGCUGUCUGGAGCUCCACCUUUACCAACCAGGACUAAAGAAUUUUUUUUAAAAAAUUUAUUUUUCUGAAUUUUGUUGAAUUUUUUUUGAUUUUUUUCUUAUUUUCAAAUUUCUGAAUUAUUUGACAAUUUAAUCUCUAAUCAUCCCUCAUCACUGCUCACUGCUCAAUUAUAAACCACUCAUUUCAAAUCGUCUAACUUCCCAGCAAGUCACGCAUCUUCUCACUACUCCAUCCUGAGCAUGCUUAACUUUCGAGUUCUAUUCCCCCUAGUUUUCAAGUGCUUUUCCUGACAAUACUAAGCUGUCAAUCCUAUUAACACUUAGGAGUUGAACUUGAGCAUUAAGCACCGUUUGAGUUUGAAACUAUUAUUCUAAAAAAACAAUUAUUAUUUAGUAACACUAAUAUUUCUUGAAUAAGUAGUUUGACCAUAGUUUGACCAGAUUUGACCAUAGUUUGACCACAAUUUGACCAAAAGUCAAAAAAGAAAAAAUAAUUAUUUAUUAACACUAAUAUUUCUUGAAUAAGUAGUUUGGCCACAGUUUAAUCAGAUUUAAUGGAAAGUCAAAAAAACUGAAAUUUGAGCAUAUUUGUUUUCUUUCAGAAUUUCAGGAUUCUAAAAAUUUGCAAACAGGUCUACGGCUGUCAAAAUCGAAUGUGGAUUUUCGUGCUUUUUUUUGAUAUAUUAUGCGUUUUUUCGACAUCGUAUGCAAAAGAUAUGACCGUUUUACUUUUUCAUAACACUUUUUUUGCAAAAUAUGUCCAAAUUUAAGCUUUUUAAUUUUCCUAACUAGUAGAUGUAAUAACAUAACUACAUCUCGAAGGAUUUAAUUUUUUAAGUUUUUAUCAUUUUCUUUUGGAUUUUAAAAGACUGAAAAGGCGAUACACGGGGGGUAGAGUUUGAAUCUUUAGUCCCAGUUUACGACACGAACCGGGACUAAAGAGUGCGAUGCCCUUUAGUCCCGGUUCGUGUCUCAAACCGGGACUAAAGGUCCCAUUUGAACCGGGACUAAUGUCUUCUCGACGCCUUAGCCGCUUGAACCGGGACUAAUGCUCAUAUUAGUUUCGGUUCGUGAUGCAACCGGGACUAAAGUGUACAUUGAGCUGUGACCAAAGCCCUGUUUUCUACUAGUGUGCAUUGUAAUGGGGCACACUAUUUUCUACCCAAACAUUGUGAUUUAUCGUACAUUUUGUUGUUAUAUGAUAAUUACAUACUAAAUGUCGCAACUGAAUAAGUACUUAUUGAUUUACCAAAGAAAACAUGAUUCUAUUAGUUAAAUCAAUAAGGCGUGGACCAGUUGAGGUGGUUCAAAAGAGAAUCGAUGAGAUAUUUUUAAUAAAACCUUGUGUUCAUUUUAAGUAGGAUAGAUGUUGCCGCAUUUUUCUAAAUCAUUGGGUUUAGAUUAGGGGGGUGGGUGCAAAUCAAGCGUGUGGCAACUCUAACGAGCUUGCAAAACUGGUUGUAUGUGCAAUCUUAUUAUAGCAAUCAAAUAUAUCUAAAUGCAUCUUUUUUUUUGAGGAGGUACGCAAAUUGUGCACCUUAGCUUUAUAGAAGGAGAGAAAUAAGACAUACAACAACGUCUACCAUUCGCUGCGGAGAACGAAGGCGACCAACUCCACACCCGGUUCGAACAAGGACAACCAAACACAACAACCUACCCAACACCGAGCCCCUCGCCGCGUCUCGACCGACACUGAAGACCUCCGAAGAACAGCAACUCCAGCUUCCUUGGAGUAGCCAGCGACGACCGUACAUGGCGCCGAAGGAGAAAGAUCCGGGUAGCGGUGAACACCGGAGGAGCGCAUCAUGGGACCUCGAGUCUCCCAGCAUAAUGCUCCCAACAGAGUAACAACCUCAAAGACGUUGCCAUCAUGCCGAUCCUACGAAUCAAGGCUUUCACCCCGGAGACAGCUGACGAAAUGAGGUCGCGAGGAAGAUGGCGUUGCACUCGGCGAAGCCUCCAAGAAGGGGAAUGACACCCGCAGGCGCCAUCAACGCCGGUCCGGCCACAACCGAACAGGAUUUUCAUCCGUAGCUCUGCACAUCUCCGAGUCUCCAAGAUCCCGACCAGCCCCGAUCAGAUGCCUCGCACCGCCGUCACCACAACAACUUGCCAUCGAAGCCCCCCCUCACUGCCGAGGGGACACGCCUAAAGCCAUAGCCUUCAACAUCGACUAGGAGCUGCAGCAUCCACCGAGUGGUGCAAAGCCAUUUCCGCCACAGUGGCCUUCACCCAUCCCAGGGGACUGCCACCAGAAUGGAUCCGACCCGCACCUCCGACCAUCCUCCAGCACGCACACCGCCGAGGCAUCGCCGCACGCCUCACAAGGUAGCAACCGAACGCCCGCUGCCCGCCAAGACCCUUCCUGGCAAGGCCUCGCAGCGCCGCCGCCGCCAUGGCUGCGCUCGCACCGCCGCCACCGCCAGUGCCGGUGCACCACCUGCAUCCUCCAUCCUGCUACGUUCCACGCAAGGAUCCAGCGAUAACCGCCGCACCCCAUGUCGUGAGAACCUCAAGGACGCCGGCCAGUGCCAAAAACGCACCAGAUCUGGCCCGAGAUCCUCGGGUCCGCACGGAUCGGCCCGCUCGGAACUGGCCAGGCACGAACUCCCCCGCGGCGAGGAGCACCAACCCGCAGCCGUCCUGCGCACUCCACCGCGACGCGCCGCCACCAGACCGCCGCGACGCCCCACACCACCUCCGGCCAGCGCGCAUCUCCGCCGCGUCGGCCACCGAGAUUCGACGCCAGGCUGAAGAAGUGGUCCCGCCGGCCUGCGCACGCGACGCGCCGCUGCCAGACCGCCGCGACGCCCCGCACCACCUCCCGCCAGCGCGCAUCCACCCGCCACGCCAGCCACCGAGAUCCGCCGCCAGGCCGAAGAAGCGGUCCCCCGCGACCACCGCUCCAGGUGAGGGCAAGAUGAAUCCCGCCGCCGCCGGCACCACACGGGCUUUGUCCGACGGCGACCGCCGCCGGCGGCGGCGGCGGCGGGGAGGGGGAAAGGGAGGGAGGCUGGGGUCGGCGGCGGGGUUAGGGCACCCGAGUCGCCCGCGGGGGGGCGACGCGGGGCAGUUAUAUCUACAUGCAUCUAGCUGUCACCAAACCAAACACUCGCUUUUUGCCUAUGUGUUCCACCCCUCAAAUUUUACUAUGCCAUGCACGACUCAAUAUUUUUCUUUGACUUUUUUUUGCUGUGAUACAUAAUAAUGAUCACAAAAAUUAGCUUUGACUACAGUGGAUUUUCACUAAAUAAGAUUGAGAGAGUGAAAAAUCACUCCCUCCUAUUCCUAUAUGUCCAAUCCUCACAUAUGCAACGAAUAUAGAUCGACCUAAGUAUCAGAGCCAACAACCAAGCUUUCCGAACUAAAACAAUUGAAGGAGCGUAAACAUCAAGAACCAUCAUCACCCAAAAACAAAUGAAACCUUCUCACAGGGCCCCCACGUCGCUCUCUCCCCGGGGCGGCACGGGCGGCGACCACCGCCCCUCUCGCGGCCUCCCCAACUCCAGCCUCUUCUCCCCCUCGCCGUCGCCGGUGGCCUCCGGCAGGCAAAGCCUGCGCGGAGCCACCGGCGACGGGGCGCUCUCUGUAGCUGCUGCUCGCUCGGGAGGAGGGGCGCUCGCAUGCGGGUCGCGGCUGUCCGGCGCUCGGCCUCGUGGCGGCAUUGCUGCUCGCGGCGGAGGCAGUCUCCGGCAUAUGGCGCGGCGUCUGGUCGCGGCGGUGGGCGCGCCGUCGCGGUGCGCGCGGUCACGGUCGUCGGCCUCGUGCGGUCCCGAUCCGAUCUGGGAUCCUGCUGGCGGCGGUUGGCGCGGACGGUGUGUGGCGCCGGGGCGGCGGCCUCGGUCCGAGCUCCUGAUGUGGCCGGGGCGUGGACGGCGCGCGCUCGCGUGGUGGUGGCUCGGUUCUGGCUGUGCGUGUGGGGCGCAGCGACCAGUCGGGCGUGGUGGCUGCAGGUGCGUGUCGGGCGCAGUGACCGGCGGUGCGUGACGGGUGUGCUUCUCUGGAGUGCGAGGUGUGCUGCGGAGGGGAUCCUGCUCGUCUGCUCUACUGCUUUGCAUGUGCAACUCCGAUUGCAUAUGGUGCGAGGUGCAUCGAUCUGGGUGCUGCGCUUCGCGAUGCGGCGUGGGUUGAUGCGGUGGUGGUGGCCACGGUGGUGCUGCGGUGGUGGACGGCGGCUUCGGCCAGGGGGUGGUGCAUGUCAUGUCGCGGUGGAUCAUGGGAUCCCGUGGCCUGAAUGAGGUCGGCCUCAGUAGGUGGUGGCUGGUGGGCGGUGGUCGGUGGUGGUAGGUGGUCGGCGCAUCUCCAGGAGAAAUCUUUGCUUCAGCCUUCUUCGGAGAUGGCGACGGCGGCGCCCGCGGGUGCAGUGAUCUUUCUUGGAAGCGUUGUCGUGGAGGUGUGCUCCUCCUCCCCACGGAUUUGGCUCCGGAGGGAAACCUCAGAUCCGCUGGGUCGGGCGAUGAAGGCGUCUUCGCGUCUUUCUCCUCCUUGGGCGCAUCGUCUCGGAGCCGGCUACGACUGGGAGACUGGUGGAUUGCGGCAUCUUCGCCGUGGAUGGCGGCAUCUUCGCCGCGUGGUCUGCUGAGGCGGGGCACUGGUUUCUGUUUGGCAACGAUGAUGGCGUCAAGAGGAGGUCGGGUCGCGGCGUGGACUUCGGUAGUCGGUUCUUCCCGGCGUGUCCGAGGUGCUCUUCUGUGGGCACGGUCGGCGCAAGUCUUGCAUAUUUCCCUAGUGAGGCUCGUCGUCAAAGUCGGAGCUGUCAGUUGCUUGCGCGUGUGGCCAUCCGGUGGCAUGUGCCGUCGUGGCUUCUAUACAGCUGUUUGCAGGUUGGCUUUGAGGUUGGAGCUCUAUGGUGAAGUCGGAGUCGCUCGUUCGAGGCAAUCGGUGAUGACGAUGACGCUUGCGACUCCUCGGCGAAUGCCAUUCUUCUUUGCAGCUUUGUGUUCCAUGUCGGUGGCCUGGUUGGCCGGUGAUGCCCAUGUCAGGUGGGUUGAGUUGUAUCGGUUUUAGCCCGGUUUUUCGCAAAUUAACCGGGCAAUUCUCUCUUCUUCUUAAUCAAUGAAAAUGGCAAAUCUUUUGCCUCGUUUCAAAAAAAAAAAACAACAACAAAUGAAGCAAGACUAAAACUAUAAAUUCAAGAACUUGUAGGGGUCACAUGGACCGCUGGAAAAAAUUUGUACCUUGAGAGCUGUGAUAUUUUUAAAACAAGAUCAGCCAGGAAUAGCUCUUAGCAACAUAUUUUUAUAGAAGAAAAUCUCUAAGCAUCCGGCAGAGUAUACCGCUUUAGCAUAUGUACAAAUCUACAAAACACACAAUAGGUGGUAUUUAAAAUUAAAAUGUAUGGAAAUAAAUGGUCAAAGUGUAGCACGCAUCUCAAAGCUCGCCCCGACGCUGGAUUCUUUGGUGUUGCCUACCGGGUGGGCACCCUAGAAAAAUCGUGUUCGUGUCCACCGGCCGAAUCGAUGCGUUUAUGAUCAACCGCUCGCCGCUCCCUACCCUUGCUAGCUCACGGCAAUCCGGUCGUCGUCGUCGUCACAGACCACGUGAGUUUUCUUGUAGUAAUCCAUGGCGUCGCCGGAUCGACCUUUGGCUCUUUCCACAUACUACCUACCUAAUUGCGGCACAUAUUUGUCGCCUUUUUCAUUUGGAUGCAACUGCAUCGCGUUCGGUUUGACCCAUGGCUUCGGCAGCUUGUGCGCGCCGCUACAUUAUAAGCAGGUGCGCUCACACAACUAGCAGCUCCAUCACUCCACCACCACCCUGAUACACUCAUAACAAGCAGUGAUCGGUCGAUGGAGGCUUCACGCAAGCUCCUCUCGGCGGCGCUCCUCCUGGUGCUGCUGCUGGCGGGCACAGGGGAGAUGGGAGGCCCGGUGGCGGUGGCGGAGGCGCGGACGUGCGAGGCGAAGAGCCACAGGUUCAGGGGCCCCUGCGUGCGCCACCACAACUGCGCCAACGUCUGCAAGACCGAGGGCUUCCCCGGCGGCAAGUGCCGCGGCUUCCGCCAUCGCUGCUUCUGCACCACCCACUGCCGGCAGUAACCAACCUAUUGCCUCUACUUCGUACGUCCGCCUAGCUGCAGCCUGCCUGCGUGCAUCCUGGCUUGCUCGCACCUCUGUGCGUCUAUAGUAGUUAGCACUGUGUCCAUGAAUAAACCUCGGCCUGUCUGUCAUGGCAUGCUGAAAUGGGUAUAAGAAACGCAGGCUCUCUUUUACUCUAUAUUAACUAGAAGAACGCCCGUGCGUUGCAACGGGGCCACAUUAAUUUUAAGAAUUCAAUAUUACGACAUUGAUGAUCUUUUUUACCAUCAAAUCCUCACACACACAGACACACACUCUCCCUCCCUCUUCCUCACUCUCUAUCCCCCUCUCCCUCUCUCUCUAACACACACACAUAUCUAUCUUAUUGGGUACGGGACCAUAAUCCAUCUAUUUCACAGAUACACGCUACUGCAUAACAAUAUGGAUUAUGUGUAUUAUAUUUGCCACCAGAACCGAGGAAAUUAAUUUCAUGUAAAUCGACCAACCACAGCUCCAAGAAUACGCGGACGAGGUGGCUCGGAUCGGUGUCGGCGCCGUCCAGCGCGGACCACGGACCCGCUACCAAGUGCACGUACAAUGCACGUCUUCACAAAUAUUAUAACCAGAUGUGAGAAAUCACAUGCAUAGAAAAGACAUUCUGAUAGCAAUCCAAAUACCAUACUCAAUUGAAUACCUAACCUGGACAAUACUCUUAUUUCUAUGCGCCAAAAAAAAUGGAAUAGCAAAGCUAAGUAUGCCUACAUACGCUCAGAUUAUAUAUAAGAAUCUUGGGUGAACAAUUGCAACAAAGCACUAAGCAGCGAUAAAUCUAAAUAACAAAUCCAUUAACUAUGCAGGCAGCAGGCUUGUUACAACAUAGAGAGAUAGGAAAAUGUCACCUCCAGUAAUGUAGCGCAAAGGAGUGGAACGAAGCAUGAAUGAGCGGUUGUCUGUUCUUCUCCAUGUACAUGGAUCAGUAGUAGAGGCCAAGUAUAUAAGUACUUGACUGAACUCCACUCUUCGUGUACGGAGAGCCAUGUCACCUUCUCACCGCUGCAGCAUGGGAGGACGGCUGGUUCACGUGACCCUCCAGCUGGGGGAUCCAUGGUGUCUGACCGUCGAGCUCGAGGCAGAGAAGUUGAGGGCAGCAGUGGCGAGAUCCAUGCCGGCCAACCGGGCGAAGAGGAGGUCGUCGGGGAGGGACACAUCGGCAAGAUCCGGUCACCACGCGACCUGAAGAGCAACAGUGAUCUCCACAAGCUGUAGUCCGACGGCGUGCUCCAUCCCCUGCGAUGGGGUGACCAUGGCGGUGGCCACAGCUCCUCAUGCUCGCCUCGAUCUCGGCGACACACCCUAAGUGUAGGAGGCAGCAACGACCUCGACGAAAUCAUGGCCUCCAUCCCGGAACGCAUGAAGGACCUCGGCCCUAUCGCUACUCCUCCCGCCGUAGCCGCACGCGGCAGCGGACCGUGGGUAGGAGGCCAGGCGGCGUCGCCUCGGCUGACGGCAGGGAGCAGCGUUGAUUUCGGGUAGGUGGCAUCGCGAGGACGGCCGCGGCCGCGGGGAGGCACCCCGAUCAUGCUGCCAGGCCAAUCCUUCUCCUCCGACCCCCUAUCCCCGAAGAUUGCGCCGCCGCCCCGGUCGUGUUGUUUUCAUAUGCCAUUUUUUCCUGUACCUAAACAAAAGCGGGCGAGCGGAUGGCAGAGUUUUGGUCCGCCCUCUAAAAUUGCUAAACACACUUUUGGUGAGGAUUAUUGUUAAUAAAUGAAUUCAAUCAUGUCGCUCUAAAUAAAUGAAUUCAAUCAUGUGACUCUAAUUACUUCGGAUUGUUAUGUGCACACUAAGCGGGGUGUAGUUAGGAAAGAAAAUGUUUUCUAAUUAAAGUGAUUGAGUGAUUUAAGGUAAGGUUAAUUAAUUUAGAUUUGAUUUUUAGUGAUUGUUAGUAAAGUAUGAUGGGUCUUUAAAAUCUUUUAUUUGUUUCCUUAAAAUCUAUUAUUUGUUUCCUAUAGAAAUUUGCAAUAAUGGAAGGUAUCGGUUGAUUUGGAUAAGUUAGUAAAUUUAGAUCCGUGAGUGCGUGCACAUUUGGAAAGUGCUGAUUUACAAGGAAAGAGCUGAGGGGUAAAUAAACCGGUGAAUAAGAAAUCAGCAUCGAAAAAAAUCUACGACGGUUAACCUACGGAAAAACACCGGACGAAAGUGGUGGGACGAAAAAAAAC